CGUUUAUUUGAUAGUGCCUUACUACUUGGAUAACCGUGGUAAUUCUAGAGCUAAUACAUGCUAAAAACCCCGACUUCGGAAGGGGUGUAUUUAUUAGAUACAAAACCAAUGCCCUUCGGGGCUCUUUGGUGAUUCAUGAUAACUAUACGAAUCGCACGGCCUUGCGCCGGCGAUGGUUCAUUCAAAUUUCUUCCCUAUCAACUUUCGAUGUUUGGGUAUUGGCCAAACAUGGUUGCAACGGGUAACGGAGGGUUAGGGCUCGACCCCGGAGAAGGAGCCUGAGAAACGGCUACUACAUCCAAGGAAGGCAGCAGGCGCGCAAAUUACCCAAUCCCGACUCGGGGAGGUAGUGACAAUAAAUACUGAUACAGGGCCCUUUCGGGCCUUGUAAUUGGAAUGAGUACAAUUUAAAUCCCUUAACGAGGAACAAUUGGAGGGCAAGUCUGGUGCCAGCAGCCGCGGUAAUUCCAGCUCCAAUAGCGUAUAUUAAAGUUGUUGUGGUUAAAAAGCUCGUAGUUGAACCUUGGGCCUGGCUGGCCGGUCCGCCUCACCGCGUGCACUGGUCCGGCCGGGCCUUUCCCUCUGUGGAACCCCAUACCCUUCACUGGGCGUGGCGGGGAAACAGGACAUUUACUUUGAAAAAAUUAGAGUGCUCCAGGCAGGCCUAUGCUCGAAUACAUUAGCAUGGAAUAAUAAAAUAGGACGCGCGGUUCUAUUUUGUUGGUUUAUAGGACCGCCGUAAUGAUUAAUAGGGACAGUCGGGGGCAUCAGUAUUCAACUGUCAGAGGUGAAAUUCUUGGAUCAGUUGAAGACUAACUACUGCGAAAGCAUUUGCCAAGGAUGUUUUCAUUAAUCAGGAACGAAAGUUAGGGGAUCGAAGACGAUCAGAUACCGUCGUAGUCUUAACCAUAAACUAUGCCGACUAGGGAUCGGACGGUGUUAUUCAUGACCCGUUCGGCACCUUACGAGAAAUCAAAGUGCUUGGGCUCCAGGGGGAGUAUGGUCGCAAGGCUGAAACUUAAAGAAAUUGACGGAAGGGCACCACCAGGGGUGGAGCCUGCGGCUUAAUUUGACUCAACACGGGGAAACUCACCAGGUCCAGACACAAUAAGGAUUGACAGAUUGAGAGCUCUUUCUUGAUUUUGUGGGUGGUGGUGCAUGGCCGU
rnacentral:rRNA from 1 species